rnacentral:rRNA from 1 species
CCAAGAAUGGGUCUGAGGCCUAUCAGGUAGUAGUGGGUGUAACGUACCUACUAGCCGACAACGGGUACGGGGUGUGAGAGCAAGAGCCCGGAGAUGGAUUCAAGGGACAUGAAUCCAGGCCCUACGGGGCGCAGCAGGCGCGAAAACUUUAAAAUGCGGGAAACCGUGAUAAGGGGACACCGAGUGCCAGCAUCAUAUGCUGGCUGUCCGGAUGUGUAAAAUACAUCUGUUAGCAAGGGCCGGGCAAGACCGGUGCCAGCCGCCGCGGUAA